UGGGGAAUAUUGGACAAUGGGGGGAACCCUGAUCCAGCCAUGCCGCGUGUGUGAAGAAGGCCUUAUGGUUGUAAAGCACUUUAAGCGAGGAGGAGGGUACUGGUAUUAAUACUACCAGGUACUGGACGUUACUCGCAGAAUAAGCACCGGCUAACUCUGUGCCAGCAGCCGCGGUAAUACAGAGGGUGCGAGCGUUAAUCGGAUUUACUGGGCGUAAAGCGUGCGUAGGCGGCUAAUUGAGUCGGAUGUGAAAUCCCCGAGCUUAACUUGGGAAUUGCAUUCGAUACUGGUUAGCUAGAGUGUGGGAGAGGAUGGUAGAAUUCCAGGUGUAGCGGUUAAAUGCGUAGAGAUCUGGAGGAAUACCGAUGGCGAAGGCAGCCAUCUGGCCUAACACUGACGCUGAGGUACGAAAGCAUGGGGAGCAAACAGG
rnacentral:rRNA from 1 species